CCAUUAUCGCAAUUUAAAAAUGUAUUUAAGACUUGGUUUAAAAAUUACUAAAGUACAUCGCGUCCUAACAUUUAAUCAGAGUCCAUGGCUUAAGGAAUAUAUAGAUUUAAAUACACGCUUAAGACAGCAGUCACAAAACGAAUUUGAAAAAGAUUUUUUUAAACUAAUGAUCAAUGCUAUAUAUGAUAAGUGCAUGGAAAAUGUACGUAAACAUAAAGACAUUAGAAUUGUAACUAGGUGGGAUGGUAGGUACGGUAUGCGCGAUUUAAUUUCAAAACCCAAUUUUCAUAGUUCUGUUAUAUUUGAAGAAGACAUGUCGAUAGUUGAAAUGAAUAAAUUAAAUGUGGUACUAAAUAAACCAAUUUAUGUAGGUUUUUGUAUUUUAGAUAUUUCAAAAAUAUUUAUUUACGAAUUUCAUUAUGACUAUAUUAAAAAUAAGUUUGGUAAUAAUGCAAAAUUGUUGUACACAGACACCGAUAGUUUAAUAUAUCAUUUUAAGACGGAAGAUAUUUAUAAAAAUAUUAAGGAAGAUAUUCAUCGCUUUGAUACUUCCGAUUAUAAACUUGAUAAUAAAUUUAAUAUCGAAUUAAAAAAUAAGAAAUGUCCAGGGCUCAUGAAAGAUAAAAAUCAUGGCAAAAUUAUGCUUGAAUUUGUUGGGCUUCGAUCUAAAAUGUAUUCCUAUACAGUUGAUUCAGACACUGAAGAUGAAGAGCAUGAUUAUGAUGAAGUAGGUCCAGCUAUAAAACGUAAAAAAUUUGUGAAAAAGUCGAAAGGGUGCACAAAAUCUUCAAUAAAACAUAUUACAUUUAAUGAUUAUAAAAAAUGUUUAUUUGAUUUAGAUAUAUUUCGUAGCACGCAAAGACUCAUUCGAUCUAAAAAACACUCUGUGUAUUCUAUAAAACAAGAAAAAGUGGUCUUAAGUCCAUAUGAUGAUAAACGCAUAUUAUUAAGAAAUACUACGGAUACAAGACCUUGGGGAUAUGCUAUUAAUCUAACGUGAAAUAUAGAGGAGCAGUAUAUGAAACAAAUUCUUAAAAAAAAAUAAUUAAUAAAUAAAUAAUGAAACGAUACAUAAAUUUACUACUUGGUAAUCCAAUGUGAAAUAAAGGAAAGUGAUCAUACGAAGAAAAAGAAGUUGUAGCAAGAUGGAACAUCAACAGUGUCAGGAAGAAGAAUCAACAGAAAACUUAUUUAUUAAAAAUCGAUGUUUUCAUAUUGAAUAUGAAGAAUAUGAAGCAUAUCGACAUGUGCAGGAGAUCAACCUUUACAAAUCAAUAAAAAAGUAUCACAAAGAACAACCUAUGUUUAAUCCAUUGGAGAAUCAAAGACAUCAGGACAUUUUGGAUUGGUUAAAGAAAAACAUUAGAAAGGGUGAGGAAAAUCCUGAAGCACAUCUUGGCUGGACUACUGGAGCAGAUUCAGCACGUUGGCCUUCCAUG